rnacentral:rRNA from 1 species
AACCANAAGGCGCAAUGAAAGUGAAGGCNCGGUCGCCGUGCUGAGGUGAGAGCCGUCCUNGACGGCGCAUCAUCRACCGAUCCCAUCCGCUCCCCCGUGGUGCGGCGGGAUUCGAGUAAGAGUGUACCUGUUGCGACCCGAAAGAUGGUGAACUAUGCCUGAAUAGGGUGAAGCCAGAGGAAACUCUGGUGGAGGCCCGCAGCGAUUCUGACGUGCAAAUCGAUCGUCAAAUUUGGGUAUAGGGGCGAAAGACUAAUCGAMCCAUCUAGUAGCUGGUUCCCUCCGAAGUUUCCCUUAGGAUAGCUGUAGCCCGAAGCAGUUUUAUCAGGUAAAGCGAAUGAUUAGAGGUAUCGGGGAAGAAACUUCCUCGACCUAUUCUCAAACUUUAAAUAGGUAAGAAGUCCGACUUGCUCGAUUUGAAGCCGGACGCAGAAUGCUGGGUUACUAGUGGGCCAUUUUUGGUAAGCAGAACUGGCGAUGCGGGAUGAACCGAACGCCGAGUUAAGGUGCCAAAGUCGACGCUCAUCAGAUCCCACAAA